rnacentral:rRNA from 1 species
GACGAACGCUGGCGGCGUGCCUAAUACAUGCAAGUCGGACGCCGUUGCGAACGGGUGAGUAACGCGUAGGUAACUACCUAUUAGAGGUGGAUAACUAUUGGAAACGAUAGCUGCUACCGCCUACUAGUUGAUGUACCUGCGUUGUAUUAGCGAGUAGGUAGGGUGAUGGCCUACCUAGGCAACGAUACAUAGCCGACCUGGGACGGGUAUCCGCACAAACGGGACUUAGAAAAGGCCCAGAAUCCUACGGGAGGCAAGAGUAGGGAAGCUUCGGAAAUGGGGGGAACCCGGGCCGAGCACAGCCGGGGGAGUGAAGAAGGGUUUCGGAUAGUAAAGCUAUGUUGUGAAGGGAGCGGUACUUAACGAGAAAGGGACGGCUAACUACGUGCCAGCAGCCGCGGUAAUUC